AUGGAAAAGUAUCCUACAAUGUAUUGGACACCUUGUGCUGCCCACUUUUUGGAUCUUAUGCUAGAGGACAUUGGGAAGAUCAAAGCGUUCAGCCAUUGCAUUGCUAAAGCAAAGAGAACAACCAGAUUUAUUUAUGCCCAUGGAAAGGUUCUUCAUUUAAUGAGAAACUUGAAUGGUAAGCAAGAAAUUGUGAGGCCUGGAGCAACUCGUUUUGCUACGUCAUUCCUUACUUUGGCAAGCAUGUGGAAGCAAAGGUAG
rnacentral:rRNA from 1 species